rnacentral:lncRNA from 10 species
GGUGUCUUCCCGGCCGGGUGGCACUGACCGGUCAUGCUCAGGGCCCCCUUCUGGUUGCCGGUGCCUCACCUCUGGCCAGGUGGCAUCGGCUUCCGGGUAAAUCUGAGCUGCCCAAAGCGAGCCUCCGGAGGCUGCUCCAUCUCCUGGAACGUUUACUCAUUCAGGCCUCUGGACGUCGAUACUGGGGAUGAAAAGUUCAGAAAGUGGACAGAUUCCUGGUCUUCAGUCCAGACCUACUGAGUUAAAAUAUUGAGGAGAGAUGGAGCUCAACAGAUGCCCUAGGUGACUCUGAUGUGGCCUAAGUCUGGGGAAACAGUACACCCUGCAGUACUUCUCCAACCUAACAGAAAUGCGGAUUCUGAUUCGCAAUGUUUCCUGAAAUAUACCUGAGCUUGGAACAGCAUGGAUCUGUACGAGCUGGUGCCCCACUAGUUGAUGACAUGGCUUCAUGAAAACAGAGGAGCACCUCACCACUAGAAGAGACCCUUGCAGUAGGAAACAAAGCUGCAUGAGAAAAGGUGGGAUGGGAUGGAAACGGCCUACUCACUCCCCCAGGAGUGGAGAGGAGGAAGCCUGAAGGGAUGAGGGCAGGGUUAUGCAUAUUUUGCAGCAUCAGAUAAUGAAAGCAGAUGAGUCAGCAGCAUUCACCCACAUGGCCAUUUUAUU